ACGUAGGGUGCGAGCGUUAAUCGGAAUUACUGGGCGUAAAGCGUGCGCAGGCGGCUUUGCAAGACAGAUGUGAAAUCCCCGGGCUUAACCUGGGAACUGCAUUUGUGACUGCAUGGCUGGAGUGUGGUAGAGGGUAGUGGAAUUCCCGGUGUAGCAGUGAAAUGCGUAGAGAUCGGGAGGAACAUCUGUGGCGAAGGCGACUACCUGGACCAGCACUGACACUGAGGCACGAAAGCGUGGGGAGCAAACAGGA
rnacentral:rRNA from 1 species